rnacentral:rRNA from 1 species
AUUGAACGCUAGCGGGAUGCUUUACACAUGCAAGUCGAACGAGUGGCGGACGGGUGAGUAAUAUAUCGGAACGUGCCCAGUAGCGGGGGAUAACUACUCGAACGAGUGGCUAAUCCCGCAUACUAUUGGAGCGGCCGCUAUCGGAUUAGCUAGUUGGUGGGGUGAAGGCUCACCAAGGCAACGAUCCGUAGCUGGUUUGAGAGGACGACCAGCCACACUGGGACGGAGACACGGCCCAGACUCCUAAGUGAGGCAGCAGUGGGGAAUUUUGGACAAUGGGGGAAACCCUGAUCCGGCCAUCCCGCGUGUAUGAGAAGGCCUGCGGGUUGUAAAGUACUUUUGGCAGAGAAGCGGUAUCUGCAGAAUAAGCACCGGCUAACUACGUGCCAGCAGCCGCGGUAAUUC